UCCCCCUUAGCUCAGCCGGUAGAGCGAGUGGCUGUUAACCACCAGGUCCGAGGUUCGAGUCCUCGAGGGGGAGCCA
rnacentral:tRNA from 2 species